UCAAAGAAAGCGAGGGCUGAUAUUAUGCACCUUUAAUUGCUAAUGUCUAUAUUAUUAUUGCCGUUUUGGCCCUGCAUUUUUUCCAGUGAAAAUGCAGAGAACAAAUGUCUUGAGAUCUAUUAAAGCACAUGUAUUUGGCCGCCCUGUCUUUAAUGUCGUGGCUAGCUUGCUAGUGCUUAUGCCCAGAUGAUGCCAGGUGGGUCACGUGACGUUCAGAUGGGCAUCGAUAUUUAGCCCAUGUUCUCUUAACGUCUACUAAUAAUGUUUAUGAAUCUCACAUAACCCCUUAUGUUUCUAUGAAUAGUCUUACAAGAGAAAGAUGCUCUGAAUAACACUGUCAGAACUAAAAUGGGGGGGGUUGCAUUGCAUGUGUUUCAAUUGCACAGAUUUUAUUGUGCCAUGAAGGACCAGGGCAUCCCGUUGAAUCAGGGAGAGGAGAGGUCCAAUUAUUGUUGUUAUGAUGAUGAUGAUUUUUUUUUUAUUAUUAUUAUCUGGGAGUAAUCUGGGAGAGAUGUUGCCCUGGAACAAAAAGAUGUACAACCCUAAAGUAACAUGGAAGCUAAAGAAACGUGACAUUAAUGUAGUAGAUUUGGUUUCUUAACAUUCAGAAACCAGGUGAGACUGUUUGCCAGACUCUCAUCAUUUGCAAGGUUUUUGUUGGUUUGUUUCCUUUGUUUUUGAGUUUUUCCAUGAAAAUUGACUUUCAUUAUAUUUUUGAUUUGAA